AAAAAAAUAAAAAAAGAAAAAAGAAAAGAAAAGAAAAGAAUAUUCUCUCCACCUACAUUCAUUACUGUUUCUGGGAAGAGUUCUGAUAAAUUCAGUUUUUGCGACUUUGUUCCAUUUCCAGUGAUAUUCUUGAAUCCCUUAUGAUUGUGGUGACCCAGCCAGCUUCCCAGCUGGGAUGCUCCUUCAUCUGGUUCUGCCUAACUCACCCCCGAGCCCCCACUGCCUUGGCUCUAAGCACUCAAGAUGGAAUGGCAGUAGGAUCCCAACACUAAUAUCUGUCCAGAACUGGUCAUCAGCUGGCUUGAGUUCUCCCAUUCUGCCUGUGCCUACCCUUAGCAAGGGGAAGAACAAGAUGGAAGAGAAGGAAGAGACCUGAUUGAACCAGCCAAUAGAUAAUUAGAAGCUGACUAUUUUGCAAUAAUACAGCACAACAGCAAUAAAUAAAUCAAUCACUUGGGGGGUGGAGAAUGGCUUUCCUAUAAUCAGCUAUUAAAGGCUUGUACCACUAA